AGAGUUUGAUCCUGGCUCAGGACGAACGCUGGCGGCGCGCCUAACACAUGCAAGUCGAACGGAGCUUAGAGAGCUUGCUUUUUAAGCUUAGUGGCGAACGGGUGAGUAACGCGUGAGUAACCUGCCCUAGAGUGGGGGACAACAGUUGGAAACGACUGCUAAUACCGCAUAAGCCCACGGUACCGCAUGGUACUGAGGGAAAAGGAUUUAUUCGCUUUAGGAUGGACUCGCGUCCAAUUAGCUAGUUGGUGAGGUAACGGCCCACCAAGGCGACGAUUGGUAGCCGGACUGAGAGGUUGAACGGCCACAUUGGGACUGAGACACGGCCCAGACUCCUACGGGAGGCAGCAGUGGGGGAUAUUGCACAAUGGGGGAAACCCUGAUGCAGCGACGCCGCGUGGAGGAAGAAGGUUUUCGGAUUGUAAACUCCUGUCGUUAGGGACGAUAAUGACGGUACCUAACAAGAAAGCACCGGCUAACUACGUGCCAGCAGCCGCGGUAAAACGUAGGGUGCAAGCGUUGUCCGGAAUUACUGGGUGUAAAGGGAGCGCAGGCGGGAAGACAAGUUGGAAGUGAAAACCAUGGGCUCAACCCAUGAAUUGCUUUCAAAACUGUUUUUUCUUGAGUAGGGCACAGGUAAGAUGGAAUUUCCCCGGUGGAGCGGUGGAAUGUGUAGAUAUCGGGAAGAACACCAGGGGGGAAGGCGGUUUACUGGGCACCAACUGACGCUGAGGCUCGAAAGCCAUGGGUAGCAAUCAGGAUUAGAUACCCUGGUAGUCCAUGCCGUAAACGAUGAUUACUAGGUGUUGGGGGAUUGACCCCCCUCAGUGCCGCAGUUAACACAAUAAGUAAUCCACCUGGGGAGUACGACCGCAAGGUUGAAACUCAAAGGAAUUGACGGGGGCCCGCACAAGCAGUGGAGUAUGUGGUUUAAUUCGAAGCAACGCGAAGAACCUUACCAAGUCUUGACAUCCUCCUGACCGGUCCUUAACCGGACCUUUCCUUCGGGACAGGAGAGACAGGUGGUGCAUGGUUGUCGUCAGCUCGUGUCGUGAGAUGUUGGGUUAAGUCCCGCAACGAGCGCAACCCCUAUCCUCAGUAGCCAGCAUUUAAGGUGGGCACUCUGGGGAGACUGCCAGGGAUAACCUGGAGGAAGGCGGGGAUGACGUCAAAUCAUUAUGCCCCUUAUGAUUUGGGCUACACACGUGCUACAAUGGCGUAAACAAAGGGAAGCGAGAUUGUGAGAUGGAGCAAAUCCCAAAAAUAACGUCCCAGUUCGGACUGUAGUCUGCAACCCGACUACACGAAGCUGGAAUCGCUAGUAAUCGCGGAUCAGAAUGCCGCGGUGAAUACGUUCCCGGGUCUUGCACACACCGCCCGUCA
rnacentral:rRNA from 1 species